GACGCCAGUGACCGCUGCUACCGCCGCCGCCACCGUCACCGCGGGACCGAGUCAGUGCAAGCCCCGGGGCCCCUCCCCUUGCCCCGCCCAGAGUCACGCCCCCGAGUUGCUCAUGAAUAUUCAUGCAGGAGACAGGGAGUAGGAAAACGACGCUGAAGCAGAGUCCAGCGCACCGUAUGCAAACCAGCACAGAUCCCACAUAAUUAUUCAUGACCUUGUAAAUGAGGGGCCGGUCCUGAUUCAGAUUUAGGCGAAACUGACGCAAUUUUACCCCAGCGCCACCGAGAUGACUGCCUAGAGAGGAAACCGCCCUGGACAGCUUUUCCCCAAGCCUACACUGAUUACAGCACCAUAGAGCGCCGGCUGCACGAAGAGAACCGUUGGCGGACUGAAGAGUCUUCCUGUUACACCUGAGUCUUCUGAGAGCGUCAAACGAAGAGGCCACCCCACGUGGAUGGCACAGUUCCACAGACAAGGAUGAAAACCAAUGCUUAUCCGGCUGGGAAGGACACGAUGUACCUGGAGACUUGCUUCCCAGCUGGGUAGGAGGGCCCUGCCCAGUCGAGAAAGGUAAACAACACAUGCAAAGUGGGAAAGGAGACAAAAGGACAUCGUUUCCAAAGUCAGUUCCCUUUAUUAAAUUGUUUUCACAGACCAGAAAUACAAAAUCAAAGUAGAAAUAGGCCCCUAUUAGGAGCUACAGGCUUGACUUCGCAUGACCCCUGCUGCAGCAACUUGAACAGGGCAGGAAGCAGCUUUACUACAUACAGUCAGAAGGUAGGAAAGUAGGUUGAGGACUUGGAUCCUUCAAUGCACUGAAGUAGAAGAUAAUACACUCCUACCCAGUCUCUCUCCAGAUUGAAAGGAGCCUUCCUUGCAAAGCAGCAGAGGUUAGGUGCUUCCCUCAAAACCUCACGGAAGUGGGAGCCACCAAGAGCAGUUACUCAGAUGGCACAGAAUCCAAGGACUACGUGAGAAACUGGUACCAAAACGAGUAGGGAGCCUGGAGAUGUGACGGGGCAAGGGCAAGCUUUCCUUCCUUUACUCAUCAGAUCCUGAGGCAGAGUCCUCUGAGCUUGGAGGAGUACUGGCUAGUUCCUCUUCUUCAGAGUCCUGAAAAGCAGAGUUCUCUUAGGUAAAUGUGUCGAGUGGCAGUGGAGAAGGCUUCCUAAUGCCUAGCUCUUCCUACAAUUCCUGUACACCAAAAGCUCAGAAGUCCACCUGUCCACUCUAACUCAUUACUCUCAGACCAACCACAACUGGACCUUACCCACCCUCAGACCCCCACAUUCCUGCCGCACCUCACUCCGCCUUCUCUUCUUCUUGCUCUUGUUCUCGCCGGAAGAGCUCUCGUCGCUGGACACAAACUCUUUGCUCUUGAAGCUGUCACUCAACGGCCUGGAUGAAGACUUGGAUGACGAGCCCCGGGAAGGAGUGGAUUUUUUCUCCAUCUUUGCUUUUACUUUCUUUUUCUUCUUAGACUUGUCCCUACAUUAGGAACAUGGAAGAGAAGCCAGGUCGUUAGGCUCUCUGUAUUGUUACAUGGGCCACGUUUCUCCUAGCUUUAAUGAGGACUUUCCCCAGUACUGCCCACACUACUCUCACCAUGGCAAAUGUAAUGUCAGCUGUCAGCCCAAAGUGCACCGAAGGACAGAAUCAUACAUGAGCACCCCAGAAGAACCAGGGUCACAGCCUAAAGCAACUCAUAUGCAAAACUUACCGGGCAUUUUUGUUUUAUUUAAAAGCUCAGGUGGACUUUGUAUUAGGUUUCACAAAAAUACAUUUUUCUGAAGUAUCCUAUUACUUCAAAUAAAACUGAUCUA